CUGCGCCACGAGUGGUAGCUACAAUUAUUGGGUCUAAAGCGUUCGUAGCCGGUUUGAUAAAUCCAUUGUGAAAUUGUGAGGCUUAACCUUACACUGUGCAGUGGACACUGUCAGACUAGGGACCGGGAGGAGCUAGAGGUAUUCUCGGGGGAGCGGUAAAAUGCUAUAAUCCCAAGAGGACCACCUGUGGCGAAAGCGUCUAGCUAGAACGGAUCCGACGGUGAGGAACGAAAGCUGGGGGAGCAAUCCGGAUUAGAGACCCGAGUAGUCC
rnacentral:rRNA from 1 species